rnacentral:rRNA from 1 species
CUAGCGACUUCAGAGUUUGAUCCUGGCUCAGGAUGAACGCUGGCGGCGUGCAUAACACAUUCAAGUCGAACGGACAGUAGCAAUACUGUUAGUGGCGGACGGGUGAGUAACGCGUGAGCAAUCUGCCUUUCGGUGAGGAAUAACAGGGAGAAAUCGCUGCUAAUACCUCAUGACGUAGCGGUGUCGCAUGGCAUUGCUACCAAAGAUUUAUCGCCGAAAGAUGAGCUCGCGUCCGAUUAGGUAGUUGGUGAGAUAAAAGCCCACCAAGCCGACGAUCGGUAGCCGAACUGAGAGGUUGAACGGCCACAUUGGAACUGAGAUACGGUCCAG